rnacentral:lncRNA from 1 species
UAAAAGUUGUUUUUUUAAUUUUCACAAUUUUUAAUUUACGUUUUACAUUUCAGAUAAACCGCGCGCGUAAACACGAACGAUUAAGAAAAUUGGAUUACAAAGUGGAUGUGUUAACUUUAAUUAAACUGUCCAUAAGAUUAAUAUCACAUGUGUAUUCAGACUUUAAUAUUAAUAAUAUAAUUGAUAUAACCAAGAAGCAACAUCGAUAUAUUAAACUAAAUAUAUUAAUAUACUAAAAGAUAAAUUACACGAAAGAUAUCGUAAAACUUUUUCCUCAUUUAUCUUUGAUAGAACAUAUUAAUCUGACACAAUCUCUCGGCUCUAUAUCUUUUCAGGUUUCACUGUUUGGUAGCCAUCAGCUUCUAAAGGGAGACAGAUGAGGUGGACCACUGGCAGGUAGCCGGUGUAUGUGGUGCAGCAGGUGAGCAGUAGGUCAACUCGGCUCACAUGUACAUUUAUAUGCGUGUCCGAUGCUCGAUACAAGAAAGUUCUUUGUCUCGAUGGAAAUGCAUCCGUGUGAAAUCAGAAAAUUCGUGAACUCGGAUCUAGGAUUUUUUAAAUGAGUUUUUAUAAGAAAAAAAAUUAAAAGUCAAGAUUAUUCAAGAUCGUUCAAAAUGAUACAAGAUCAAUCAUCAUUGAGAAACAUUCCAUUGGAGAAAUGAAUUUUUCGAUAUUCAUUGUAUAUGUCAUUUACUCAUCUCCUUUUCAAUUAUUAUACAGAUUCACUCUAUUUAAGGUAAAAUUAUAAUACAUUAUCUUUUAUUCCAACUCUUUUCGUUUUACCAUCUACAUAAACACAUCUCAAAUAAAUAAAUGCAUGUAUCAUCAAUUACUCAAUGUCUAAACAAAAUAUUGUGUGUUUCUUCUAGGCUCUCAUCAAGACUCUUGGAAAAUUGCAAGAAACUCGAUACCAAGCAAAAGGAACUUUAUCGACCGUUCGAAAUGAUUCGAGUUUUCGAUGUACAGCCGGUACAUACACACUCACACAGAGUUAGGAGUCAGGUAGUAAGGUGGGUAGGUGGUGGGUAGGUAGGUGCAUACGCGUAGCGUGGGAAGGUCCGGCAGCUGAGAGCAGAAGGGGCCCCAAAAAGCGGCUGCAGCUUCUUCUUCUUGCCUGUUGCUGCCGCUGCCCUCUGCCUCGGCCCUUCCUCACCCGUGGGACCUGCCCACUUCUUCUUCUGGAUAUACGACCCGAACUAUUCAGAUGCCCGUGAACGCGACUUUUCCGCUUUCCUUCUUUGCCUGUGUACGACCUCUCUUAAUUCUCAGCUGUGCCGGGACCGGUGCCUUAUCGAAUAUCGUAUAAUGCGUGUAACGUUGAGACGAUGGGAAGGUAGUUUCCACGGUGAUUCCCAAUCGCGGAUGCAAGACGUCGCGACGACAAGGACAACGAUAACCACGACGACAUCCUGUCCCUUGAAUUGAAAGGACGGAGUAUUCGGUGAAGGUCUUAUUAUUAAUUGUUCGAGUUCCUGCUCAAACACUGGAGAUUAAAUCCGGGAGGAACUAAUCCGGCACGUAGUGCCUCUUUAUUCCGUCUGUCCCACGUAGAGAGAAGCCUCUCACGUACACACACUCGUCUCUCUAUAGAUGUUUGUUACGUCAAGGUACGGUAGAUAGAGCCCUCUGUGAAUCGUAAAUACACGUAUAUAUACACACUCCAUGUGCUUCGUGAGAGUAAAUACACUACGAAUCUUCGUGAAUGAAAUUUCAACCCUUGAAUCGCGUUCUCUACCUGGAAUAUCUUCUUUUUUUUAUUUUUAUUCUUCUUUUUUUCCUUUUUUUUUUUUUGUUUUAAGGGGCUUCGUUGUAAAACACCGCGAGAAUGUUAAUCGAGGGCAAUGAAGGAUAAGUAUAAGAAUAGGUUAAGAGCUAUCCUGCGUUCUUAAAUAUUAUCUUAAAUAUUUAAUAUGUAUAGAUGUAAAUGAAAUUGGAAUGUUUAUUUCAUCUUAAGAAAUAUUAAUUUUCGAUUAAAAAUCAGUAUCUCCAAAACAGGAUUAUCCUAACUACAAUCGAGAUCAAGCCUCGAAUAUAACCUCAAAUUUACCAAAACAAUAACAACAACCAACAUGGUGGAUGCCAACGUAAGGAAGCGAAAAGUUUUUCGUAGGGAAUAAAAUCGGCGGCCUGGAUCUCAAAUCAAGAUUGGAGCGGAUCGCAGCCUUGGAUGCUGUCCACUUAGAUAAGGAUAGCCCCUGGAGAGGAGGAAGGGGAUUCACCGACAGCAGGCCAGUUAUUCGCGCGCCAGAAGGUAGCUCUCGAAAAUUUACUUUGGGCCAAAGUUGGAAAGAGGAAGAGGAUUGAAACGGUGGUUGAACAGAGACGGAGGAAUCGGCGAAGAAAAGGAAAGAGGAGGAGAAAGGUUGAAUAUCGGAGAUGAGAGUUGGCCGAUGGAAUCGGCGGCUUCGAGAGCCAGAUGCAGGAUCCGCAGACGGAACGGAAGGAAGCAUUUUUUUAUUAUGUUUGUUGCCCGCCUUUCUCGGCCCUGAAGUAAAAGAACAGAUACGGUGUAACGGGAGAAGGUCGUUUCUGUGGGUGUACAUCGU